UUCGCAAUGCCCGAAAGGGUGACGAAGCGACGCCGCGUGGGUGAAGAAGGCCUUCGGGUUGUAAAACCCUGUCAGGAGUUAUGAAAUGUAAGUGCGCUAAUAUCGUGCUUAUUUGACAAAGGCUCCAAAGGAAGCCACGGCUAACUCUGUGCCGGCAGCCGCGGUAAUACAGAGGUGGCGAGCGUUGUUCGGAAUUAUUGGGCGUAAAGAGCACGUAGGUGGGUUUGCAAGUCAGAUGUGAAAGCCUUCUGUUCAACGGAAGAAUUGCAUCUGAAACUGCUAAUCUUGAGUAUAGGAGGGGAGAAUGGAACUUCUGGUGGAGCGGUGAAAUGCGUAGAUAUCAGAAGGAACGCCGGCGGCGAAAGCGAUUCUCUGGCCUAUUACUGACACUCAGUGUGCGAAAGCUAGGGGAGCAAACGGGAUUAGAUACCCCGGUAGUCCUAGCCGUAAACGAUGGGCACUAAGUAGAGGGGUUAU
rnacentral:rRNA from 1 species